AAUAUAAAAAGAUGUUUCUCGUAAAGGACGAGCAGAUGCUGUGAACACUUCUAUCAGGACUGAAAUUUUCUUUUUACAUUUUAUAUAAAACAGAAAUGCAUAUAUGGCGGCUGCAAGUCUCUCCUUCUUAAUUUGGUGGUGAUGUGAAGGCUGCUCCAAAAGAAUCCUUAGACACUAAAGGAGUUUAGCUAUUUCGUACUAGAGCUUCAUAAUUAAAUAGUAAAUACAGUUCUCGAAAGAGAUAGUUUUCUAAGAGUUAAGACAGGGGUGGGAUGGUGAUAGCUUCUAUAGUUACAACUAACCAAGGCCCCUAUGAUAGAGAACUCUUCAGAUAUUCCAUAUGUGCACGAUGCAAAAGAAGAGGACCCUCACUGAAGAGGACAGAUGGGCAGAGAAGUAAAUAAGCAAAAUGCAUUUUCUUGGCAGACAAUAGGUGAGAAGGGCAGAGGAGAUAUAAGUGGGGGUAAAAGUGAGAAAUAAAUCACGGGAAGGAGUGUUGGUUUUAAUUACUGAAUCUUUGCUAUGCGCAUAGUCUUGUAUGAAAAUUAUAAAUUUAACAUAUAAAUUUAAAUAUUCAAGUAAAUUAUAGUUUAAAUAUUUUAAGUUCUAUGUUUAAAAUAAAUUUCAAUAAAAUUCUUAUAUGAAAAUCUACAUUAAAUAAAUUUAAAACAGGUUAAAUAUAUUUAAAAAUAAAUUGAAAUUGAAAUUUAUAUUAAAUUUCUUAAAGUUAUAUUAAAGUUAUUGCUUAUCUAAGAGCUACAGGUUUUGUUAAGGGACACGUAUCUUAAACAGAAAACCAUAUAGUGGGUUAAUUAAUUUAUUAAAUUUAUUAAAUUUAGUUUAAACAAAAGUAAAUGAUAACUGAGCAGAAAUGACCUGGAAGGCUCAACAAGAGCACUUGAUUACUUUACAUCUUCAAGACCAACCUAAAUCACCCACAGGGGUCUGAUCUCUUCUAGCUUCCCCAUCAUUUCUAGCCUGUCCCAUUAUUUAAUUAAAGAACAACUAGAUUUCAUUUAGGCAAACAAACAUCUGAUUAUUGUCUAGAAUUACACUCCUCCUAUGCAGCAUGAACAAACAGCAUUAUUUUAGAUGAACAUUUAAAAAUAGAUCACAGUUUCUAUCUUUGUGUGUUUGGGAAUCUUAAUAAACACAGAAUUUUGAGACACACAGGAUCCUAAUAUAGAAUCCAAGCAGAGAACUAAGCCUUUAAGGCUCUCACUGACAAAAUUGUUUUCUCUUAAGAAAUGUUAUUCCUAAAAAAAAAAAAAAAAAAAAAAAAAAAGAAAUGUUAUUCCUAAAAUUAUCUAUGAUAGCAAAUGAAGUCAAUGUAAACCAAUGUAAACGUAGGUGUAAAAAGAUGUUUUAAAAUUGUAGACAGAAUAUAUAGGAAGAAAAUAAAUAUUUUAAGCUUAUUUUAGGAAAAGAGUGUUGUGUUUCCAAUAAGAAAGAAAAAUAGGAGGGAAAGAGGCAUUUAUAUGCAAUUAUAAAUGUAGUAAUUAAAUGAGACAGAGCUUGGGAUGAGAGCUUUCUACAUAUUCACAUGACCAUAAAUUGUCGCGGAAUAGGAGAUAUUAACACAGCUCCCAUAGAUAUUUCAUUUCACUGCAACAUUUUUCCUUUGUGUUCCCAUUUCUUCCUCAUCCUAUUUUAAGUCUUUAUCAUGAAGUCCAGAUUCUUUCCUAUGUGGCUCCUAACAUGAACGUGCAUCCUAUUUGUCUGGUAGAUCUUAAAAGUCACCUCUGGGGACAGCAUGUCUCAUACUCUGAGUCAGUCCCAGAAGAGGAACCUGGAAAUUUCCGUUUAAGAAGAUCUGCGCAUGCGCUUCUUCACAGGCACAUAUUGGCCCGUUACUUGUGAAGAAGCUAUCCUCUGCCAGCUGAAUCUACAGCUGCCUUCUCACCUAUGACCCUUGAGUUUCCAUCUCUUCAGUCUCAGAUGCAUCUCUGCCAUCACCUUCCUAGUUUAAAGACCACAACACUUGGUCUUUGAUAUACAAUACCCGCCCCCAAAUUACUCGUUAUAUUUCAAGGUGAAGUUCCAACUACUUUCUCCGUGAUGCCCAUUACUUCUUCAUUACUGUUUACCAGUUAAUAAUUUUCACUUUUCUAUAGUAAUUAGCUAUGCAUUUAUAAUGAACUGAGGACACUCAUAUGAUAUUACAUAUAUAUAAUAUACACAUAUAUGCAUAUAUAUUUACAUCUUACAAAAUAGAUAAUUGCACAGAUAAAAUAGAUCCAAAUUAAAACAAAAUGUUUUUGAGUCACAUAAAUAUUUCUAUUUUUUUUUCCUUAUGUGCUAUAUGCUGAACUCCAGGUUAAGUUGAGUCAGGUCUAUAUCACAGGGCUGCAAACAUUUCUAGUAUUCAAAAUUCCUUCUGCAUGUAACUUUAAGCAGGCAUCAGGAGUGUGGGAACCCAUUAACUAUGUUAGACCAUCCUCAGAGGUCUAAUUCACAUGCCUAUUUAAACAUAUGUAAAUGAAGACCUUAAAGUGGAAACAUAGAAUACAUACAUCAAUAAAAGAAAACAAAUUAUGGUAUAAUCUGUUGCUGUUAAAAUAGGCUUAACUCAUUAGUUUCUCUGAGGCUAGGAACCUUGAAAGCCGCUGGCAUGGAGAUCAUGACAGCUACCUGCACAGAUCUGAGGGGCAUGCUGGAAAUUCUACUUCCUUUCCCUGUAUUUCUAGCCCCCAAUUUGCAUCUUACUCUAAAUACUAGGACAACCUUCUCCCUAUCAAACAAUUCAAGUGCAUCUUCGUUGUUGUUUAUUUUCCUUCAGUAUAAAAGAUGCACAAUCACGUUUCAGAUGUAUCUGAAAAUCCUCAAAUUGUGCCAAUUAAUGGAAUUAAUAGGAAACAACAACAACAGUAAGAACAAUAACAACAACAAACAAAAUUAAUGCCAGCUUUCUGGCUCAAAAAAUCAUAUUGAGUAUCUGUGGUGGUUUGAAUAUGCUUGGCCCAAGAAAUGGCACUAUUAAGAAGGAUGGUCCUGUUACAGUAGGUGUGGCCUUGUUGGAGUGGGUGUGGCCUUGUUGGAGGAAGUGUGUCACUGUAGGAGAUACUUUAGGAUCUUCCUCCUAGCUGUCUGGGAGACAGCUCUCUCCUGUUUGCCUUCAGAACAAGAUGC
rnacentral:lncRNA from 1 species